GGCCGUGCUCCCUCCCUGGAGCAGUCGCGUGCAAGGACUGUUGGGGGGGGUCAGAGUCCCUGGACGGCCAAGGGCUGGCUCGGCUGCAGGCCCCCAGCGUGCCGGCCAGGGCAUCGCAUCGCAGCCUCCCCCUCUGCUCGCUGCAGCCUCUCUUACAGCGGACAGGUGCUCCAGGUGUUCCCGAGAGCGCACCUGACAGGCCUCUCCUGCCCCAGCCUGAGACUGUUGCCCAGAGAAGCUACCCCGCGUCACGGUCACCACCAUCACCGUGAGACUAGCUGCCCAGAGGGAUGGGCUGAGCCGAGACCCGCGGGAGCAGUGUUAGGAGGUCACGGCAAGGUCACGGCAAGGUCAGCAGGCGAGACGGGAGCGUGGACUGAAGCGGUGGCAGAGGGAGUAGAGAAGAGAGGCCGUGGACGAGGCUUGUGGAGCAGAGUGGGGGGCGCGUUGAGCAGAGUGGGGUACAGGGAUCCCUGCGUGUCUGUGGACGAAGUGCUCCCCUCCAAAACGGACCACAGAGGAGGAGAGGCUGGUGGGGAAUUGUGGGGCUGCGGUGGCCGUGGCGGGGACGGUCCAAGGCGCGCGGGACAAAGGCCUGGGAUGCCGUCAUGGGGCAGGUCUGGGAGGAAGCUGGCUCUCUGGGUUUUUGCCAAACCGCUGGACCUGUUUCCUAGGACGCCUCCCAGAAAUCUGCAACGCCUAUACCCCAAAGGGGCCUUCCUCUCCUCUCGUCCCUCAACCCCACUUCUCCCGGGGUGUUCCUCACACAGAUCAGUGACACCCUCCACAUUCAGGCGCCCAGGCUGCACACUUGUGUCCCUCUACUGCCAUCUCCGACCCAUCACCAACAUCGACCCAUCUUCUAAACCCGACUCCCAGCUCUUUCUCUGUGUCCACCCGUCUACCCUUGCUCUCCUGCGCUGGUCUCCUCGCCCCUUGGCUUCCUCCCUGACAUCUGCCCUCCAGACCCUCCGUUGCACUGACCCGCCCAAACUGCAGAUCUCAUCACAACGGUUCUAUACCCGCAUUCUUUUAAUGGCUCCCCAUUAUUUCUCAAGUAAAAUCCGAAUUCUUCAACGUGGCACGGAGUCCCUUUGGGGAGCGUCUCCUGCUGGUGUGUCUGCCCCCCCCCCAACACCACCAUCCAGCUUCCCACUUUGUGCUCUAAGGCUCUAG
rnacentral:lncRNA from 1 species